UACAGAGGGGGCAAGCGUUGUUCGGAAUUACUGGGCGUAAAGGGCGCGUAGGCGGCCUUCUAAGUCGAACGUGAAAUCCCCGGGCUCAACCCGGGAACUGCGUCCGAUACUGGAAGGCUUGAAUCCGGGAGAGGGAUGCGGAAUUCCAGGUGUAGCGGUGAAAUGCGUUGAUAUUGGGAGGAACUCCGGUGGCGAAAGCGGCUCGCUGGGCCUCUUCUGACGCUGAUGCGCGAAAGCUAGGGGAGCAAACGGG
rnacentral:rRNA from 1 species